CGUGCCAGCAGCCGCGGUAAUACGGAGGAUGCGAGCGUUAUCCGGAAUCAUUGGGUUUAAAGGGUCCGUAGGCGGGCUGGUAAGUCAGAGGUGAAAGCACUCAGCUCAACUGAGUAACUGCCUUUGAAACUGUCAGUCUUGAAUGGUUGUGAAGUAGUUGGAAUGUGUAGUGUAGCGGUGAAAUGCUUAGAUAUUACACAGAACACCGAUAGCGAAGGCAUAUUACUAACAAUUAAUUGACGCUGAUGGGCGAAAGCGUGGGGAGCGAACAGGAUUAGAUACCCUGGUAGUCCACGCCGUAAACGAUGA
rnacentral:rRNA from 1 species